GAUGAACGCUAGCGAUAGGCCUAACACAUGCAAGUCGAGGGGCAUCACAUGAAGUAGCAAUACGGAUGGUGGCGACCGGCGCACGGGUGAGUAACACGUAUGCAACCUGCCUUCAACAAGGGGAUAACCCGUUGAAAGACGGACUAAUACCCUAUAAUACAGGGGCCCCGCAUGGGGAUAUUUGUUAAAGAUUUAUCGGUUGAAGAUGGGCAUGCGUUCCAUUAGCUGGUUGGUGGGGUAACGGCCCACCAAGGCAACGAUGGAUAGGGGAACUGAGAGGUUUAUCCCCCACACUGGUACUGAGACACGGACCAGACUCCUACGGGAGGCAGCAGUGAGGAAUAUUGGUCAAUGGACGCAAGUCUGAACCAGCCACGUCGCGUGAAGGAAGACGGCCCUACGGGUUGUAAACUUCUUUUAUACGGGGAAUAAAGUGCCCCACGCGUGGGGUUUUGCAUGUACCGUAUGAAUAAGGAUCGGCUAACUCCGUGCCAGCAGCCGCGGU
rnacentral:rRNA from 1 species